rnacentral:rRNA from 1 species
ACGCUCGACACCUACGGGAGGCGGCAGUGGGGAAUAUUGCACAAUGGGGGAAACCCUGAUGCAGCAACGCCGCGUGAAGGAAGACGGUUUUCGGAUUGUAAACUUCUGUUCUUAGUGAAGAUAGUGACGGUAGCUAAGGAGCAAGCCACGGCUAACUACGUGCUAGCAGCCGCGGUAAUCUGAGCGGGCUGGCAAGGC